GCUUUCCUAUUUAACAACACUAGACUGCGAAAUGAAAGUGGCAUAUUCUUGGAAACAAGAUGCACAUAUAUAAACUGCAACAUUUUGGAGAAUGCUUACAUUUAUUUGCAAACCGUCAAGGACAUCACGAACAUUCUGAAAACUACAAGUCGGUCAGAAUUUAUUGGAGCCAAUGCUGAGGGUGAUGAGGGGCCCACAGUGGAACUUCUCCAUGGAUCAGCAACAGCGACAAUGGGGGCCUUCAACUUCUAGCUUCCUCUUGGAUGCCCAGAGCUCCGAGAGUGCUGUUCUAUGGACCCCAGGAAGCUGCCACACCCCAAGCCUCUACCCUUCUUCUCCUCAGCUUCAGAACCUGCAUGUCUCUGGAAGUCAUUAAAGCUCUUCAGGAGCUUGUCCUGCCAGCCCCGCAAAUUUGCCCAGGAGAGCCCUAAGGAAGCCUUGAUUCGCGUGCAACCGCCCUCAUUCCUCAACCCACUCCAGGCCCCCCGCCUGGACAUCCCUGCUCCUCUUCACCAGCCCAGAGGAGGAGCGGAGCAUCUAAACCCUCUGCAGCACAGUUCCUAGAAACUGAAUGGCCUUUCCCAGCUCCCGACACUAAUAUGGCUAUUUAUAAAGCACAUUCUACGUUCGAGGCACUAAACGAAACUACUAAAUAUUAUGUGGAUAAUCUUUAUUCCUCCCAUCAGCCCUGAUUUAUAUCCAGGAAAGCAUCACUGAGUGCUUCCU
rnacentral:lncRNA from 1 species